rnacentral:rRNA from 1 species
GAUGAACGCUGGCGGCGUGCUUAACACAUGCAAGUCGAACGAUGAAGCCCAGCUUGCUGGGUGGAUUAGUGGCGAACGGGUGAGUAACACGUGAGCAACCUGCCCCUGACUCUGGGAUAA